rnacentral:rRNA from 1 species
CGCUAAGGCGUUGAAGCAGUGUACGUCAGACUUCCAAGAAAAGCUCGCAAUGUCAUAAAUAAAAAUGCCUGUACCAUAACCGACACAGGUGGGUAGGUAGAGUAUACUAAGGGGCGCGAGAUAACUCUCUCUAAGGAACUCGGCAAAAUGACUCCGUAACUUCGGGAGAAGGAGUGCCUUAUUUAUAAGGUUGCAAUAACAAGAUCCAAGCAACUGUUUAUCAAAAACACAGGUCUCCGCUAAGUCGUAAGACGAUGUAUGGGGGCUGACGCCUGCCCAGUGCCAGAAGGUUAAAGAAGUUGGUUAGUGUAUGCGAAGCUGAUGACUGAAGCCCUGGUGAACGGCGGCCGUAACUAUAACGGUCCUAAGGUAGCGAAAUUCCCUGUCGGGUAAGUUCCGACCCGCACGAAAGGCGUAAUGAUUUGGAUACUGUCUCGGAGAGAGGCUCGGUGAAAUAGACUUGUCUGUGAAGAUGCGGACUACCUGCACCAGGACAGAAAGACCCUAUGAAGCUUUACUGUAACUUGAAAUUGGAAUUGGACUUUGCUUGCGCAGUAUAGGUGGGGAGCGUUGAAGAUAUUCUUGCGGGAGUAUUGGAGCUAUCAGUGAGAUACCACUCUUGUAAUGUUAGAUUUCUAACUUUGAACCAUAAUCUGGUCAAAGAACAGUUUCAGGUGGGCAGUUUGACUGGGGCGGUCGCCUCCCAAAUGGUAACGGAGGCGUACAAAGGUUUCCUCUGAACGGAUAGAAAUCGUAUCUAGAGUGUAAAGGCAUAAGGAAGCUUGACUGUGAGACCUACAAGUCGAGCAGGGACGAAAGUCGGUCUUAGUGAUCUGACGGUACUGAGUGGAAAGGCCGUCACUCAACGGAUAAAAGUUACUCUAAGGAUAACAGGCUGAUCUCCCCCAAGAGUUCACAUCGACGGGGAGGUUUGGCACCUCGAUGUCGGCUCAUCGCAUCCUGGGGCGGUAGUACGUCCCAAGGGUUGGGCUGUUCGCCCAUGAAAGCGGUACGCGAGCUGGGUUCAGAACGUCGUGAGACAGUUCGGUCCAUAUCCGGUGUAGGCGUUAGAAUAUUGAGAGGAGCCUUCUUUAGUACGAGAGGACCGAGAAGGACACACCGCUGGUGUACCAGUUAUCGUGCCAACGGUAAACGCUGGGUAGCUAUGUGUGGAGUGGAUAACCGCUGAAAGCAUCUAAGUGGGAAGCCCACCUCAAGAUGAGUAUUCUCA